UAUGGACAACGUGACUGUUGUAAUUGUGUGCAUCUUAUUCUUUGUCAUGUUCUCAGUUCUUAUUACUUUAUUAAGGCCUGCUUCAUAAUGUACCUAAAUGUGUGUUCUCUAUUACAGACAGAUUUUCAAAGAUUUCCGUUUUGCUGCAACUGGAUGAAGUGGACUUAUUCAGGCAGAGUUCCAGAGAAUUGUCACUACGGACCUGCUUUCAUCGUUUCUGGAUGGACUUGAUGGCCUGGCAUUGCUGGAGGUCUACAAAGGUGCAUCCAGGACUGGAAAGAAGCCGGCACUAAAAGGCCUUUUGGACUGCCUUGAGAAAGAUGACACAAAUGAGAGGAGGAGGACUGCUGCUCUCUUGGGACUAUCACACUACAUGUCUGGCGAAAAUCAGGAAAAUGUCAUCAGGAUGUGUGAUGUAAGAUCAUAACUGUCUUGAAUUACUUUAUGUAAUUG